GUCUGUGUGCUGGGAGACAGAGCCAGAGCCUAAAAUAAUAAAUAAAAGUAUAGGAAGUUUCACAGUGGGAUUUCUUACCAGCCCCAAAGGAAGAAGCAGAGG